rnacentral:rRNA from 1 species
GUAGGGAAUAUUGCGCAAUGGAGGCAACUCUGACGCAGCCAUGCCGCGUGCAGGAAGAAGGCGCUACGCGUUGUAAACUGCUUUUAACCGGGAAGAAACCCCAGGACGUGUCCUGGGUUGACGGUACCGGAGGAAUAAGCACCGGCUAACUUCGUGCCAGCAGCCGCGGUAAUACGAAGGGUGCAAGCGUUAUCCGGAUUCAUUGGGUUUAAAGGGUGCGUAGGCGGAGCGUUAAGUCAGUGGUGAAAUCCUGCAGCUUAACUGUAGACUUGCCAUUGAUACUGGCGCUCUUGAGUGCGCUUGAAGUGGGCGGAAUGUGCCGUGUAGCGGUGAAAUGCUUAGAUAUGGCACAGAACACCAAUUGCGAAGGCAGCUCACUAAGGCGAUACUGACGCUGAGGCACGAAAGCGUGGGGAUCGAACAGGAUUAGAUACCCUGGUAGUCC